AAACUCAAAUGAAUUGACGGGGACCCGCACAAGCAGCGGAGCAUGUGGUUUAAUUCGAAGCAACGCGAAGAACCUUACCAGGACUUGACAUCCCUCUGACAGUCCCUUAACCGGGAUUUCCUUCGGGCAGAGGUGACAGGUGGUGCAUGGUUGUCGUCAGCUCGUGUCGUGAGAUGUUGGGUUAAGUCCCGCAACGAGCGCAACCCUUGUCUUUAGUUGCCAUCAUUUAGUUGGGCACUCUAGAGAGACUGCCGAGGAUAACUCGGAGGAAGGUGGGGAUGACGUCAAAUCAUCAUGCCCCUUAUGUUCUGGGCUACACACGUGCUACAAUGGCUGGUACAAAGAGACGCAAGACGGUGACGUGGAGCAAAUCUCAAAACCAGUCCCAGUUCGGAUUGUAGGCUGAAACUCGCCUACAUGAAGUUGGAGUUGCUAGUAAUCGCAGAUCAGAAUGCUGCGGUGAAUGCGUUCCCGGGUCUUGUACACACCGCCCGUCACACCAUGGAAGUUGGGGGCGCCCAAAGUUGGCCAAUUAAUAGGUUACCUAAGGCGAAA
rnacentral:rRNA from 1 species